GAUGAAGAACGUAGCGAAAUGCGAUAAGUAAUGUAAAUUGCAGAAUUCAGUGAAUCAUCGAAUCUUUGAACGCACAUUGCGCCCGCCAGUAUUCUGGCGAGCAUGCCUGUUCGAGCGUCAUUUCAACCAUCAAGCCCCAGGCUUGUGUUGGAGCCCUGCGGCUGCCGCAGCCUCCCAAAACCAGUGGCGGGCUCGCUAUCACACCGAGUGCAGUAGUUUACUCUUCGCUCAGGGCGUGUGGCGGGUGCUAGCCGUGAAACCCCCAACUUCUCAAGGUUGACCUCGGAUCAGGUAGGAAUACCCGCUGAACUUAAGCAUAUCAAUAAGCGGAGGA
rnacentral:misc_RNA from 1 species